CAGGCAGAUACUCCUGUGCUGUAGAAGGCCAUGAGGAUCUCCCUCUGCUGAAGAGACUCUCACUGUCAGAUAUGGCCCAAAGAACACCUCGGUGUCAGUCAGUCCCUCUGGUGAAAUAGUGGAGGGCAGUUCAGUGACUCUGACCUGCAGCAGUGAUGCCAACCCACCUGUGGACAAAUACACCUGGUACAAGACAAAAUACAAGAACUUGUCGAUGAGAAAUUCUGGACAGAGAUACACCAUCCAUAAUAUCAGCUCUGAGGACAGAGAGGGAUACUACUGCGAGGCUCUGAACAUUUUAGGGAGACAGACUAUCCCUGUCCAUAUUAAUGUUACAUGUAAGUAUGACACAUUGUCUAUUUUUGUGCUCUGUAACUUUACAGAUUUCAUUCUGACAUCAUGCAUUUAUAAACUCAUGACCCUGCAGCAGUGUUUCCCUGGGUUCCUGUGGUGGGGGUGGGGGCUGUCCUGACUGCUGGAGCUCUUCUACUCACCAUCUACUGCUAUGUGAAGAGGAGAUCCACAGGAGGAAGUGAUGCCACAGCAGACACACGGAUUAAGGGACUCCCCUGUGACACAGCCCCUCAGAAAGAUGCUGAGCCCUCCGAUUAUGAGAACUGGAGAGAACCACCACAGAACCUGUACAGUGACACAGCCCCUCAGAUAGAUGCUGAGCCCUCCGAUUAUGAGAACUGGAGCGAACCACCACAGAACCUGGACUGAAGAGAACCACCACAGAACCUGGAUUGAAGAGAACCACCACAGAACCUGACUG